rnacentral:rRNA from 1 species
GCACAAGCGGUGGAGCAUGUGGUUAAUUCGACGCAACGCGAAGAACCUUACCAGGGCUUGACAUCCCCUGACCGCGUAUGAAAGUACGUUUUCACCCUCGGGUGACAGGGAGACAGGUGGUGCAUGGUUGUCGUCAGCUCGUGUCGUGAGAUGUUGGGUUAAGUCCCGCAACGAGCGCAACCCCUACGUUUAGUUGCUAACGCGUGAAGGCGAGCACUCUAGACGAACUGCCGUUGACAAAACGGAGGAAGGUGGGGAUGACGUCAAAUCAUCAUGCCCCUUAUGUUCUGGGCUACACACGUGCUACAAUGGCCGGUACAGACGGACGCAAAGCCGCGAGGUGGAGCAAAUCCUAAAAAGCCGAUCUCAGUUCGGAUUGCAGGCUGCAAUUCGCCUGCAUGAAGUCGGAAUCGCUAGUAAUCGCAGGUCAGCAUACUGCGGUGAAUACGUUCCCGGGCCUU